rnacentral:SRP_RNA from 1 species
GCUGGGCGUGGUGGCGCAUGCCUAUAAUCCCAGCUACUUGGGAGGCUGAGGCUGCAGUGAGUCGAGAUUGCACCACUGCAUUCCAGCCUGGGUGACAGAGCAAGAGACUUCUUCAAAAAAAUAAAAAAGAAGAAGAAUGUAGUAAUAUUCUGUCUUUUUUUUUUUUUUUUUUUUUUUGAGACAGAGUCUCCCUCUGUUGCCCAAGCUGGAGUGCAGUGGCACGAUCUUGGCUCACUGCAGCCCC